GCAAUGGUUGUUCAGGGGAAGAAUUCUUACUUGUCAUGUGAAAAGCCUGGGUUCAAAUCCCAGCCAAUGCC
rnacentral:tRNA from 1 species